AGUUUAACUGAUAGCUGUAACAGACACCUAUUUUCAGCAUUUUCGUCAUCCUCACUUACUUUUCUCCAAGCGGUCUCCUUUUUUUGUCCUCUGUAUAAAUAUAAAGUCGUAUCGUAAAACUCUGGGUGUCCAAAGACAGCUACAAGUGGAGGUCAGCACCUCUGUUACUCGCUGUUGCAGAAAGAUAAAUCCACAUUUUAAUCCCAAAAGUUUCAGAAAUACACUCUGAGCUCUCCUCCAGAUGUCAAACAGCUUACAGCUUACAGUUUAUUCCUCAAAUUUAUAGCUCAAAGUUGAGUUUUCAACUUGUAGAAUACGUGAAAUUCUUGUUAUUCGUAUAGCUGUUUAAUGCGAAUACAUGUCUUCACAAUGAAUAAUAAUUUGUAUUGACUUUCUGUGUGCACACGCUUGUUACAGAGCGAGCCAGAGUUCCUAUACGGGUUUCAAUAGCAGCAAAGAUCAGAUGGAAACAAACACAUUGAAACUUAAGUUUUGCCCACGUGUGAUUUAAAAACCAUUGCCUGCUUCCAAACUGAUCCAGAGUCGCUGGUUCAUCUCAAAGGGGAAACUUGAUUCUUUUGAACAUUAGUCGGUUCCUUACUUCACCAAACUCUUGUCAAAAAAGGUUCAAAUUUUGUCGAUAAGCUUCAGAUUUGGAGACUCCCAGAGAGUUUGGAGAAGAGAGUUACCGAACUGAUAUUCAAGUGAUUGUGUGCUGUCUCGUCUGAACGUCGUCUUGUCUCUGAGUCUGUCUUUUCCUGUCUGAAGCGAGCCUACAGCUGCUGUUUCACAGUCUGAGUUGCUUCAUCCCUCCUUCGUUUGUCCUUCAUUUAUUCAUUUCAAAAACUACGUCUGACCCCGCCUGUAAAGAAAGGUUUAAACGGACGGUGUAAAGUUCAGGUUUUAUUGUUUUUCUGCAUGGGAAAUUUGGCUUGCAAGCAUGUCAAAAACAUGCAGAUGGAAAGAAGUAUAAGAAAGAUUUAAAAAGGUAAAACAAACAAAAAAAAGACAAUAUUCAGGUAGUUUUGUCAAAAUGUUCUUUUAUGCUGCCACUUUUGAAACAAACUGAAUGCCAACAUGUGAAAACAACCACCAAGCACAUAAUUUAAAUCACUUUCCAAAUCUGAAAACAAACAGAAACAAGAUAACUGCUGUCAUAAAAGAUAGAAACACGAGGGUGUCCAGGGGAAUUUAUAUCCCUAACAUCUUUAUUGAUAUUGAUCCACGAUGUUUCAGUAAAUGUGAUUUUGUUCUCGAGGACAGAAACCAUCUUUUUAAAAGUGUUUGUACAAUGUUGUGUUCAAAGUUUUUAUGUGACUUUAUGUUGUAAAUAUCUUGUUGUAAAAAAAAAAAAA